AUGAUAACUGCAAAUGACGACGUUCUCUCGUCUCUUGAAAGUCUUGAUAUUGAAGGAUGUGGAAUAACAGGGAAGUGGCUAUCUCUGAUGCUGCGACAUUCACCGACCCUAAAGGAAUUGUGUUUAUACGAUUGCCCACAGUUGAAACAAUUGAAGAUAGAAGAGGAAGGAAAUGUUCAACCAAACCUUCUCCUAGUUUUCGAGGCUUUAUCAUCAGGGUAUGCAGAUGGAGUCGUGCACAUUCCGAUUCCAUUGAAUCUCAGAAAGAUAAAAAUUGGUGGAUGCCCUCAUCUAAUAUUUGACGGGAGUAGGGAAGGCUUUGCUGGAGUCCUCACAUGUAGGGAACGGAAGAUGUCUCCUCCGGCUUGA
rnacentral:rRNA from 1 species